rnacentral:rRNA from 1 species
UACGGAGGGUGCAAGCGUUAUCCGGAUUCACUGGGUUUAAAGGGUGCGUAGGUGGGCAGGUAAGUCCGUGGUGAAAUCCCCGAGCUUAACUCGGGAACUGCCAUGGAUACUAUUUGUCUUGAAUAUUGUGGAGGUAAGCGGAAUAUGUCAUGUAGCGGUGAAAUGCUUAGAUAUGACAUAGAACGCCAAUUGCGAAGGCAGCUUACUACACAGUUAUUGACGCUGAGGCACGAAAGCGUGGGGAUCAAACAGG